rnacentral:rRNA from 1 species
UACGUAGGGGGCAAGCGUUGUCCGGAUUCAUUGGGCGUAAAGAGCGUGUAGGCGGCCAGGUAGGUCCGCUGUGAAAACCCGAGGCUCAACCUCGGGACGUCGGCGGAAACCAUUUGGCUAGAGUCCGGAAGAGGAGAGUGGAAUUCCCGGUGUAGCGGUGAAAUGCGCAGAUAUCAGGAAGAACACCCGUGGCGAAGGCGGCUCUCUGGGACGGUAC